rnacentral:lncRNA from 1 species
CAGGAGUUCGAGACCAGGCUGGCAAAGAGACCAGCCUGGCCAAUAUGGUGAAACCCCAUCUCUACUAAAAAUACAAAAAUUAGCCAGGCAUGGGAGCAGGGGCCUGUAAUCCCAGCUAUUCAGGAGGCUGAGGCAGGAGAACUGCUUGAACCAGGAGGUGGAGGUUACACUGAGCAGAUCAUGCCAUUGCACUCCAGCCUGGGCAACAGAGCGUGACUCUGACUCAAAAAAAAUAAAUAAAAAUUUUUUUUGGUAGCAACAGGGCCUCACUUUGUUGCCCAGGCUGGUCUUAAACUCCUGGGCUCAAGCAGUCCUCCCAUCUUGGCCUCCCAAAGUGUUGGGAUUAUAGUGUCAGCCACUGUGCCCAGCCUGCCUGCAGUUUUUAACAAUAUCAGUGACCUGGUCUCACUUCUAAAAAUUUUAACUUAAUCAGAGAGAAGCCUGGGCAUCAGACUUUUUUUUUUUUUUUGAGAUGGAGCCUUGCUCUGUCACCCAGGUUGGAGUGCAGUGACAUGAUCUCAGCUCACUGCAACCUCUGCCUCCUGGGUUCAAGCGAUUCUCCCGCCUCAGCCUCCCGAGCAGCUGGGAUUACAGGUGCCCACCACCAUGCCCAGCUAAUUUUUUGUAUUUUUAGUAGAGACGGGGUUUCAUCAUGUUGGCCAGGCUCGUAUCGAACUCCUGACCUAGAUCCGCCCGUCUCAGUCUCCCACAGUGCUGGGAUUACAGGCGUUGUGUCAUCGCGCCCCACUGGCUAAAGUUUUUUUAAAGUUCCCUAAACAACUCUAAUGAGCAACCUGGGUUCACAACCACUUCUUUACAUGCAUCUUCUUUUCCCUUUCUUCCAUUGUUUUCUUGGUGAAUAUAGGGUUGGGGUUUAUUUCCAGAUGGGAAAAUUAAAGCAUAAAAGGUUGAAUAGUUCACCCAAGAUUAAAUAGCUGGUAAGGGAUGAAACGAACUGAACCCAGUUGUGCUUGACUCUGGGGCCCAUGUGCUUUACCAUGAUGCACAAUACAGCACACUAAUCACUAGCAGGAUGAAAUGGGCCUGUCUCAUUGAGGACCAUCAUCCCAAGGUUAUCACGAAUUGUCAAUUUCCCAAUGUGCUAUGAAAUGACAGAUAAGAGACUAAUAGGCUUAUUUAAAUAAGUUAGUUUGAAGAAUAUAUUCAUCCAGGAUUCAUCCUUAGGAUUCUGAAUAAAUCCUAAACAGAGAUUCUCAAAUUUUAAUGUCUGUUAAGAAUCAGCCAGGCAUGGUAGCUCACACCUAUAAUCUUGGCACUUUGGGAGGCCCAGGUGGGCAGAUCACGAGAUCAGGAGUUAGACCAGCCUGGCCAACAUGGCGAAACUCCAUCUCUACUAAAAAUACAAAAAUUAGGCCGGGCGUGGUGGCUCACACCUGUAAUCCCAGCUCUUUGUGAAGCUGAGGCGGGUGGAUCACCUGAGGUCAGGAGUUUGAGGCCAGCCUGGCCAACAUGAUGAAACCCCGUCUCUACUAAAAAUACAAAAAAAAAAUUAACAGGGCAUGGUGGCACACGCCUGCAGUCCCAGCUACUCAGGAGGCUGAGGCAGGAAAAUUGCUUGAACCCGGGAGGCAGAGGUUGCAGUGAGCCAAGGUUGUGCCACUGCAUUCCAGCCUGGGCGACACAGCGAAACACCACCUAGAAAAAAAUAGAUAUAUACAAAAAUUAGCCAGGCGUAGUGGCACAUGCCUAUAAUCCCAGCUACUGGGGAGGCUGAGGAACGAGAAUGGUUUGAGCCUGGGAGUCAGAGGUUGCAGUGAGCUGAGAUCGCACCACUGCACUCUAGCCUGGGUGACAAAGUGUGACUCUGUCUCAAAAACAAGAAAAAAAAGUUGCCCAGGCUUGUCUUGAACUUCUAGGCUAAAGCCAUCUUUCCACCUUGGCCUUCCAAAAUGCUGGAAUUACAGGCGUGAGCCACUGCACCCACCCUGGAUACCGCAUUUUAUUUUUAAUUUUUUUUGAAACUGAGUUUCACUCUUGUUGCCCAUGCUGGAGUGCAAUGGCACGAUCUUGGCUCACCGCAACCUCUGCCUCGCGGGUUCAAGCAAUUCUCCUGCCUCUGCCUCCCAAGUAGCUGGGAUUACAGGCGCGUGCCACCACACUCGGCUAAUUUUGUAUUUUUAGUAGAGACGGGGUUUCUCUGUGUUGGUCAGGCUGGUCUCGAACUCCCAACCUCAGGUGAUUCGCCAGCCUCGGCCUCCCAAAGUGCUGGGAUUACAGGUGUGAGCCAUCGUGCCCGGCUGACACCACAUUUUAAACAUGCUCUCCCAGUGACACUGAUAUGGGCAGAAUACGAGCAUACUCUGAGAAAGUGUUUCAAACUGGGGGUGGGAGGGUUCUUCUAAGCAAUAAAGUUUUACAACCAGCCAGGCACAGUGGCUCACGUCUAUAAUCCUAGCACUUUGGGAGGUCAAAAAGGGAAGAUUGGGCAACACAGCAAGACCUCGUCUCUACUUAAAAAAAAAAAAGAGUAGCAAGGCAUGGUGGCAGGUGCCUGUAGUCCCAGCUAAUCAGGAGGCUGAAGCCGGAGGACUGCCUGAACGCAAGAGUUUGAGGCUGCAUGAGCUACGAUUGCACCACUGCUCUCCAGCCUGGGCCACAGCACAAGACUCUGUCUCAAAAAAGUAAAUUAAUUAAGACUGGUCAAUGGGGUGUCUACUAAAAAUACAAAAAUUAGCUGGGCACGGUGGCACACGUCUGUAAUCCCAGGACUCGGGAGGAUGAGGCAGGAGAAUCGCUUGAACUCGGGAGGUGGAAGCUGGAGUAAGCCGAGAUUGCACCCCUGCACUCCAUCCUAGGCAACAGAGCGAGACCCUGUUUCAAUAAGUAAACAAACAAAUAAAUAAAUAAAUAAAAUUUGACAACCUAUAAUAAGGUAACUAAAGACAGGGUCUAUUAUACACAUUGUAUCUAGUUAUCUAGCAUUAGCUUCAGCAUCUGCUUGAAAGCUAAAAGAAAAUUACCAGAAAUGAGAUCACAGAGUGUACUAUGAUCUCAUCACAGGACUCUCCUCCAGCUCCAGAGGAAUGUACGAAACAACUGUUCCACAGCAGGCCAGACAGAAAAAUGAAGAAAACACUAGGCACUGUGGUUUAAUAGGCCAAGCAGAAUAAAUGCUACCACAAAACUCCAUAGCAAGGCAUGCGGCACAGGUCCUGCAGUGAGUGACCUGAGUGACUGCAACAGGCACUCUUGGCCACUGACCCACGUCCACCUGCCAAAAGCAGCAGUAAAUAGAAGUACAGUGAGUUGAGGCCGGGCGCGGUGGCUCACGCCUGUAAUCCCAGCACUUUGGGAGGCCGAGGCGGGUGGAUCACGAGGUCAAGAGAUCGAGAUCAUCCUCACCAACAUAGUGAAACCCCGUCUCUACUAAAAAUACAAAAAAAUAGCCAGGCGUGGUGGCGGGUGCCUGUAGUCCCAGCUACUCGGGAGGCUGAGGCAGGAGAAUGGCGUGAACCCAGGAGGCGGAGCUUGCAGUGAGCCGAGAUCUCGCCACUGCACUCCAGCCUGGGCAACAGAGCGAGACUCUGUCUCUCAAAAAAAAAAAAAAAAGACGUACAAUCACAGGCUCCGAGGGAACUGAGUUUAUGAUCCACGCUUUCUUCAUCGCUUUGGAGAGUACACGCCUACCCCACCCCAGUAUAUCCGUUAGGUCCUAGUAAACAUUUGUGGCACUGGUGAUAUGUUUCGAAUCUUUUUUUUUCCCCAGUAAUAUAAACCCGAGAGCGUGGACCAAGCCAUUCGAUUACAUGUUGUGUUUGAGCAACACCAUCCACGCCGUGAGCUUACUGGACCCUGGGCCGUGCCCAGCGACCGUGGACACUGAACUAAGCCAGAGCUGGUGCUCACGUGAAGACAAGGGCAGAGGAGGAUUCGGAGCUCUACAGGGUAGAGCCAGAAGGGUAGUACAGGCUUAACUGCUGGCCCGGUGCUUCCAGCUCAGCCGAGGGGCCGCGGGGCCGCAGGCUGCAUUCCCCGAGGCCAGGCCGCAUCUUUUCCCCCGCCCCGACGACCCCGCGCACUGCAGGAAGGGGGCGGCGACGUUGACCGCCGCAAGCAGCCAAAGGAGGGCGGCGGCUGAGAGCGGCCAAGACCAAGAAAGACGCACAGCUGUGGCUUUACUAAACCGCCGGGCGGGAGCCCGGAGCCCCACAGGCAAGGCCCCCAGCGUCGCUCGGAUCUACCACGGGGAGACCGGAGGCGUCUGAGGCCGCCUCCAGAGGAACAAAGGUUCCUCACGAGGCCGGGGGUGGCAGAGUGUCAAGAGACACACAGGAAGGAGUGGAAUGGGACUUGGGGGAUCUGGGGGCGUCCCGG